AACAUUUCGAAGCGGCGUCUCGUCCGUGAUCCCUAUGAUGUUUUGGAUGGGUUGGUCCUUGUUAUUUACCACGUUGCCUCAACUGCUAACAGAACACCCCGCGCAGCGUGGAAUAACGGAGCGAUAAAAAAUGGAGUCCCUCCUCUCUCAGGAUUCUCAAGAUCAAGUAAAUCUUUACUUUGUGUUACCAAAAAACACUUCAGAAACAACAUGCAGUGAAAAGUUAGGAUCAUGUUAUCAGGCCUGUUUGGACAUUGGAUUCCCAUGCAACUGGAUUAAGGAGGAAGAUGUUCUUCAGAAGCAUCCUGUCAAG